UCAGGCCUAACACAUGCAAGUCGAGCGCUCACCUUCGGGUGGGAGCGGCGCACGGGUGAGUAACACGUGGGAACCUACCUUGAAGUACGGAAUAACUGAGGGAAACUUCAGCUAAUACCGUAUACGCCCUACGGGGGAAAGAUUUAUCGCUUCAAGACGGGCCCGCGUUGGAUUAGCUAGUUGGUGAGGUAAUGGCUCACCAAGGCAACGAUCCAUAGCUGAUUUGAGAGAAUGAUCAGCCACACUGGGACUGAGACACGGCCCAGACUCCUACGGGAGGCAGCAGUGGGGAAUAUUGGACAAGGGGCGCAAGCCUGAUCCAGCCAUGCCGCGUGAGUGAAGAGAGGCCUUCGGGUUGUAAAGCUCUUCAGAUGGACGAUGAUG
rnacentral:rRNA from 1 species